GCAAUUAAAAAAGUAAAUGUAUUUGAUGCUUUCAUAAUUGGAGCAAAACAAGGUUUUGAUGUGAGCGUAAAGCUUAUACCUUAUUUAGUUGCGAUGAUGGUUGCCAUUGGCAUGCUAAGAGCUUCAGGUUUUUUUUCCUUAAUGAGUCAGAUCUUAUCGCCAGCGUUGACUAUGAUAGGAAUGCCUUCCGAAUUAUUACCUUUAGCUCUUAUUAGACCAUUCUCUGGAAGUGCUUCAACAGGAGUUAUGGCAGAGCUGAUUCAUAAAUACGGAGGAGAUUCAUUCAUCGCAAAAACCGCAGCAACAAUGAUGGGAAGUACAGAGACUACUUUUUAUGUGAUUGCCGUUUAUUUUGGGUCUGUGGGUAUCAGAAGAACAAGACAUGCUAUUCCUGCCGGAUUAUUGGCAGAUUUAGCUGGAAUCAUUGCCUCGGUUUUGAUUUGUCGAUAUUUAUUUACAUGAUAUAAGAUUUUUUUAACACAAAAAGAGUAACGUUAUGUUUGAAUUACUUGGAGCUUACUCGCUUUAUAAAGAAGUGUCUGCUGUCAUUUAGAUUAGGUAUUGGGGUAUGGAAAAAUCCAACGCACAGUUUUUAUCCAACGUUAACUUUCUUUUUCCCUUUACUUGCUAAUUGCGCUUGCUCGAAAAGUUUUAGACGGGCUAAAAGUGUACUGGCUUUUGCUUUGAAUGCUGCCAUUUCUCUUGCUGGUACUGGUGCUGCAGUAGGCAAGCUUAUUGUAGUUGGGUUUCUUGGCUGAUUAUUGACAUGAAGCUCAUAAUGGCAAUGAGGUCCGGUUGCCAGGCCGGUUUGUCCUACAUAACCAAUUACUUGACCUCGUUUUACUCUACUGCCUUUUGAUAGACCUUUCUGGAAUUUGAGUAAAUGCCCAUAAAUAGUGCUGUAUGUUUUAUCAUGCUUAAUUUUAAUCAUAUUGCCAUAUCCGUUAUGCCUAUCGAUGAUUGUAAUAACCCCAUCGCCGGUAGCAUGUAUUGGUGUUCCAAUCGGGGCAGCCAAAUCGAUACCUUUGUGCGCUCGUCUGUAAUGAAGAAUUGGGUGGUAUCUCGAUAAAGCAAAAGUCGAGCUUAUAUGGCUAAAUUUAAUUGGAUAUCGAGUGAAGGCUUUUUUAAAGCUGGUGCCUUGUGGGGUAAAAUAGUCUUGCUCACCAUGAGCGUUAGUAUGACGUAUUGCUUGAUAAGUUUUUCCACGAUUAGUAUACGUUACUACCAGAAUGUCUCCUACUCCAACCAUUUUAUCUUCAAUGUAAUAAGCAUCAUAAAUUAUCGAGAAUUGAUCUCCGGAGCGCAAAGAUCUGGAAAAAUCAAUUUCUUUGUUAAAGAUAGUGGUCAUUUGACGGACUAAUUUUGAGGGGAUGUUAAAUCGUUGGGCUGUUGUAUACAAAGAACCUUGGACUGUUGCAGUCACAUAACGAUUUUGAGUGGUUGUUUUUUUUGAGUCAAUUUUGGUUUUGUAUAUUUUCCCUGCGCGAUAAACUGUUAGUGUUUGAAUGGUGUUUACAGGAACAAUUAAUUUUUCCAAUUUAUUUUUUUUAAUUAAAAAUUGUAAUUUCUGGUUGGGUUUGAUUCUUGUAAGCAUCUUGGCGUGCGGGUUAUUUUUUAUCACAUCAUUUAAAUUUUGCGCGGUUAGUCCUAGCCUAUGGAAAAUGGUCGCCAUAGAAUCUCCUGAAUGAGGAUUGACUAUUUGCCAUUCAUUAUCUUUUUUUACAUGACUUGUAUUGAUUGGUUUGUCUUGCUGAUCUUGCUUUGUUUGCAUAGGUUUUGUAGCAGAUUUAAUAUCAGGUUUUUCAUGCGGAAUUUCCGUGGAAGCUUCAGCAGGUAUAUCUCUUGAUAACUCGUCUGAUAGUUCGGGGUAUAAAUCAGUUUGGUCAGCAUAACUGCUUCGUUUAGGGUGUGAAAAAUUUUUCACUAGCAAAUACGGAAGCGAAAAGGCAAAUACCAACGCAAAAAACGCUAAUAGCUUUGAUGAGUUACCAGAUUUUCUUUUUGGUAUAUUCGGUCUUUUAUCCAUUUUUUGCCUAUAUUGCCGUCAUCUGAAAAAUGCUGCUAUUUAAAUUUCAAUCAAUAUAUCACAGUCAUUAUUUGGAAGUGACCGCUACCUUGAGUCAACUAAAUCGACUCUUAUUUGGAUAUUUUGUUAUAUUUUUCUCAAUUUAGAGUAAUAAAUUAUCUCAAAAUGUAUCAUUUGGUAUAGCAGGAAAUUGCUAACCGGGCUAAGAUACUCGCUGCGAGAAGAUAGGUCAAUCAUUUAUACGGGUUUUAAUGACAUGAUAGUUCAAGAUUCAGUUUGUUCCGAAUUAAUGCGGGGGUGUGAGGAAAUUCUUCCUGUACCUGAGUUGGAGAAGAAAUUACAAAAAGGUAUCCCAUUGAAAAUAAAGGCAGGUUUUGAUCCAACAGCGCCAGAUCUUCAUUUGGGACAUACUGUACUGCUUAAUAAAUUGAGGCAGUUUCAGCAAUUUGGUCAUGAGGUUAUUUUUUUGAUUGGUGAUUUCACAGCCAUGAUUGGUGAUCCGACUGGAAAAAAUGUAACCCGAAUGCCAUUGAGUCAGGAAACGGUUCUGGAAAAUGCAAAGACCUACCAACACCAGGUAUUUAAAAUUCUUGACCCUGAUAAGACUACUGUGGCUUUCAAUUCACAAUGGCUUAAUAAAUUUAAUGCGGUUGAUUUGAUUCGACUGGCUGCAACACAUACAGUGGCAAGAAUGCUGGAACGAGAUGAUUUCAAUAAACGUUAUACUACAGGACAGCCUAUCGCAAUUCACGAAUUUUUGUACCCGCUGUUACAAGGUUAUGAUUCGGUGGCAUUAAAAGCUGACGUUGAACUUGGCGGUACUGAUCAGAAAUUUAAUUUAUUGAUGGGUAGAGAAUUACAGAAGCAUUAUGGCUUUGAGCCUCAAGUUGUCAUGAUGACACCAUUGAUAGAGGGUUUGGAUGGUGUAAAGAAGAUGUCGAAAUCCCUUGAUAAUUACAUUGGGAUCAAUGAAACACCUGAGCAAAUGUUCGGAAAAAUUAUGUCAGUUUCUGAUGAGUUAAUGUGGCGAUAUAUUGAUUUAUUAAGCUUUAAAACAGGCAAGGAAAUACAACAAUUAAAACAAUCUGUAUUAGAAGGGAAAAAUCCCAGAGAUGUUAAGAUUGAUUUUGCCAAAGAAAUUGUUGCGCGAUUUCAUGAUCAAACUCAGGCCGAAUUUGCUCAUAACAAGUUUAUUGAACGAUUUCAAAAAGGAAAUAUUCCUGAAGACUUGGAAGAACUGUCGUUAGUUAUUGCAGAGCCUAUAGCUUUAGCACAAUUAUUAAAGCAAAUUGAUUUGACAGCCAGCACAUCAGAGUCUAUAAGAAUGGUGAAACAAGGGGCUGUUAAAGUGGAUGGGGAUAAAAUUUCAGAUCCUUCCCUAAAAUUACCCAUUGGCAAGUCUUAUAUCAUUCAAGUUGGAAAACGUCGAAUUGCCAAACUGAGUAUUCAACAAGCAGACUGAGAUAAUUUUUUAAAAAAAUUAAAAAAGUAUUUGACAGAGUUGUUGAAAUGAGUAGAAUACGCCCUACGCCACGAGGGCGGGUUCAUUAAGAAGAGAGAAGACAAACUGUGUGGGCACUUUGAGAUACUUUGAGUGCUUAAGAGAUAAAGAAGAUAGCUAGCCAUAACUUAUAGAGAACCGUACCGCAAACCGACACAGGUGGACAGGUAGAGAAUACUAAGGCGCUUGAGAGAACUCGGGUGAAGGAACUAGGCAAAAUGGUACCGUAACUUCGGGAGAAGGUACGCCCUUUCUGGUGAUGGGAUUUACUUUCAGAGCUGGAGAGGGCCGCAGAGACCAGGUGGCUGCGACUGUUUAUUAAAAACACAGCACUCUGCAAAUUCGUAAGAAGACGUAUAGGGUGUGACGCCUGCCCGGUGCCGGAAGGUUAAUUGAUGGGGUUAUCUUCGGAGAAGCUCUUGAUCGAAGCCCCGGUAAACGGCGGCCGUAACUAUAACGGUCCUAAGGUAGCGAAAUUCCUUGUCGGGUAAGUUCCGACCUGCACGAAUGGCGUAACGAUGGCCACACUGUCUCCACCCGAGACUCAGUGAAAUUGAAAUCGCUGUGAAGAUGCAGUGUACCCGCGGCUAGACGGAAAGACCCCGUGAACCUUUACUAUAGUUUUGCACUGGACUUUGAUGAUGACUGUGUAGGAUAGGUGGGAGGCUGUGAAGUGAGGACGCUAGUUCUCAUGGAGCCGCCCUUGAAAUACCACCCUGUUGUUAUUGAGGUUCUAACUUAUAGUUUUGCACUGGACUUUGAUGAUGACUGUGUAGGAUAGGUGGGAGGCUGUGAAGUGAGGACGCUAGUUCUCAUGGAGCCGCCCUUGAAAUACCACCCUGUUGUUAUUGAGGUUCUAACUUGGUCCAGUAAUCCUGGAUGAGGACAGUGUAUGAUGGGUAGUUUGACUGGGGCGGUCUCCUCCCAAAGAGUAACGGAGGAGCACAAAGGUACCCUCGGUACGGUCGGACAUCGUACCAAGAGUGUAAAGGCAAAAGGGUGCUUGACUGCGAGAGUGACGGCUCGAGCAGGAACGAAAGUUGGUCUUAGUGAUCCGGUGGUUCUGAAUGGAAGGGCCAUCGCUCAACGGAUAAAAGGUACUCCGGGGAUAACAGGCUGAUACCGCCCAAGAGUUCAUAUCGACGGCGGUGUUUGGCACCUCGAUGUCGGCUCAUCACAUCCUGGGGCUGAAGCAGGUCCCAAGGGUAUGGCUGUUCGCCAUUUAAAGUGGUACGCGAGCUGGGUUUAGAACGUCGUGAGACAGUUCGGUCCCUAUCUGCCGUGGGCGUAGGAAAAUUGAGAGGAGCUGCUCCUAGUACGAGAGGACCGGAGUGGACGAACCUCUGGUGCACCGGUUGUCACGCCAGUGGCAUGGCCGGGUAGCUAAGUUCGGACGGAUAACCGCUGAAAGCAUCUAAGCGGGAAGCCUCCCUCAAGAUGAGUUUUCCCAUGAAGCCCGUUGAAGACUACGACGUUGAUAGGCAAGGUGUGGAAGCGCAGUAAUGCGUGAAGCUAACUUGUACUAAUUGGCUGAUUGUCUUGACCAU
rnacentral:rRNA from 1 species